UAGGAUUUCCUUCAUGGCCUUAUGGUGUU
rnacentral:piRNA from 1 species